CUUACGUACUUCAGUAGAGCCAACCUAAGCGCGUGGAGAAUCAGACAAACGUUUUUUCUAGUCGUCUUAUGUCUUGCACACCCUUUUCACUUUUGAUAAAGAAAAUGUAGGCAUUCAUAUAAAAAAUAUAAAUAUCAGUGUAUGUCAUAAAGUAAAAAAAACCUCAUUUACCAUAUUCAAAUAAGAGGCCAUAACCCCUGAGUGGGAUAAAUCGCGUCCUCAUCUAAACAUUUGCGAAUACGAUCUCACCUGCGGAAACUAGCCCACUCAAGUUGGCUAGCCCACUCAAGUGGACAGGCCCUUAGAUAGUUUUUAAAUGAAAUAUUGUCAAUGUUUUAGCUGCUGUUAGAUUAGCAAUUAAUAAUUUUACGUCCACAAGCCACUUUUAAUGGUUCUUACUUGCUCCCAUGUGGCUUAUACAUAUAUAAAUUAGGAAUCUAAUUAUAAGUAACAGUUAUACCGGUCGGAAAUAAAUUGCUUGAUGCCUUAUAGCCAGAGUAGCACACGGUAUUGUGUAUAGAACAGAAUGGUCACACCUAUUGUGCAUAACUAUGAUUGUGAAACAUCCCCUUUUAUGCAAUCAAUUUUUCUAAAAUUAGUCCCAAAGGCAAAUACAAUAAUUACAGAAAAUCCAAUUAUUCAUUAUACUCUAUUUUUUACUACCAAUCAAAACAAAGACAAAUUUUCCAACAGACAGUAUUUCCAAUUGGUGAAGAUCAAGCAUGUUGACAAUUGUGAUAACUUUUCAUACUUAGGAUGUGGGCGUACCGAACAAGAUUUCAAUGAAAACUUCUGACAAACUCAAUCUCUAUUGUUCAUAGGCAAAAGGGAUUAGGUAUUUUAGUAUACUAAUGCUGAUUUUCCAGUGCGCCCACCAGAAUUGCAUUAAUCCCUCAAAGGCUCCGUCGUCCUGCCCCAGAGCAAGCCGGAAUAUGGAAAAAGGGAAUGAUUAGCAAUUAACGAAUAUUUCUGGCACCACACAAAACCAAAAGUCAAGUCGUUCUUUGUUCCAAACCACUUUACAUUAAGCAAACAACCAUUUCACUCACGAACUGCAGUGCGCUCGAAUAUCCAAGCGGAAAUCGGAUUAUCUUGUCAAACUUGAGGAAGUAUUCUCGAUUUCCCACUUUGACGAAGAUAAUGAGUUUUAUGUCAGAAAUCAGUGCGUUCAGGGCCUAAGAUCAGGCAUGUUGACAAUUAUGAUAAAGUUUCAUACUUACUGAAUCAAAUAUUGCUUCAACAAACAGAAAUGAAAGAUUUAGCAGGUAAAUUAGAAUCAACUAGCCAUAACAGAUGAAUUAUUGAGAGCAGAAGAAAAAUAACAGUUGAAGCCGGGUCAACAUACUCGAUAUUUUUUUUCAUGGUUAUAGAACUCGUGAUGAAGCCGAAAUUUCGUUCUUUAUAAAUAUUUGUGCAAAAUAACUGCUUCAACGCAUGGAAUAAUUUAAAUCUUGACAAUAAAAGUGUCAGGGGAUAAGAGCUUGCUAUGUAUAUUUCAUUAGGAUUGAUUUGAAUCUUAGUUGUAAAGUGUAAGGCAAUUUAGUGCUUUCGUUGACGUUGAUCUACUGUUAGACAUUUUGCACUGCACAUAUAAAAUCAAGCCUAUCAUCAACGCUUGAUAAAGGGAGCUGUAAUGUCAACAAGAUUGCAUUAGGGUCAAGAUGAGAUUAAGCAUUAAUUCAUAUGUGGCAUGCACGAUUUUCUACAUUGGAGAUUGAUGCUCUAUAAGCACAGGAGCCAACUGACGUAGCGCUUGGGCUGAAUCGAUCAACGCCAGGUUAUGUUGAGAGUCUCCAAGAAAUCAUCAGGCAAUGCUUGACUCAACCGUACAGCUUCGUUGCCAUAAAUGAAGAAAAUGAAAUCGUCGGGGUACGCUUGAGUAAACUGCAUAAACCAAGUCAAAAUGCAAUUGAUGACAGAAAGCUAGAGAAUGCUGUUCGAAGUGGAUUCUCUGCUUUGGAGAUUUCUGAGGUCUACUUGGCAAUAUUAGAAGGGGAAGUCGAGAAGCUAAUCCCAGCAGAUUGUCGUAAGAACAUACUGAAAUUUUUCAUCCUGUGUGUGCACCAGAAAUUUCGACGCCUUGGCAUCGCAGCCAAAUUGGUGGAUUUAUCUUGUGAAAACGCCCGAAAGCUCAAAUUCUGUUGCGUUUUUGCAUUGCUAACUGCAAAGGCAUCCCAAAACCUUUUCAAGAAGGAUGGCUUUGAAGUCUUGCGAGUGAUAAAGCAUAAAGAUUUUGUAGAUGAAAACGGAAAGAGAUUGUUGAACUGUAACGAUGGAACCGACCAAGGACUGCUAGUAUUUAAAAUACUCCAAUCUUAGAUAAAGCUAGGACAGCUGAAAAUAUGCUGAAUUUUUAUGUCCUUAAGCUUUGAUUUCAAAUGAUCAUACCGUUAGGCUGUAAAAUUAUGUAUUGGUUUAUUAAGAUAAUGUCUUUCCCUGCAAUGAUGUAAAAAUGUACAGUUGAUAUCCACGCUUUCGGGCUUAAACUUACGGGAACUGAAAUUUUUUCGAUAUGACGUAUGUUAGAAGCAAAUUACCAUAUGAGCCAUAAAAAUUAGAAAAGUUAUGUAUUAUAUGUAGGUUGUUUACAAAGCAUUGUAAAUGCAGUUUUAAGGCUCUGAACAUGGGGAUUUAAAGCAUUUAUAUUUUCAAAUUGAUGAAAAUGAGCAACUAU